GUGAAUGUGGAAAUGUAAGGGGUGUUCAGAAUUGGUGUCAAGAGAAACAGAAGAGAGCCUCGAGGACACACGGAAAACUCUACUGUCUGAUGUGAAGAAAAGGAACAACCGAGAGACAGUGAAGUUCAAAAUGGAGAAGACGUUUGCAUACAGGAGACAUUAAGUUGUCCGUGACGCACCCUUGGUAGAGGACUUCAUGGCAAGAUGGCCUGCGCUCUUUGAAGUCAUUGAGGGCAUGGAUGAAGAGUCCACCAAGGAGGCCAUUGAGGACACUACUGUGAGGAUCUACAUUAUCAAAGACCAUGC